rnacentral:rRNA from 1 species
UUAAUUGAAGAGUUUGAUCAUGGCUCAGAUUGAACGCUGGCGGCAGGCCUAACACAUGCAAGUCGGGCGGUAACAGGGGGAAGCUUGCUUCUCUGCUGACGAGCGGCGGACGGGUGAGUAAUGUAUGGGGAUCUGCCUGAUGGAGGGGGAUAACUACUGGAAACGGUAGCUAAUACCGCAUAAUGUCUUCGGACCAAAGCGGGGGA